rnacentral:rRNA from 1 species
GACGAACGCUGGCGGCGUGCUUAACACAUGCAAGUCGAACGGAAAGGCCUCUUUCGGGGGGUACUCGAGUGGCGAACGGGUGAGUAACACGUGAGUAACCUGCCCUUGACUUUGGGAUAACUUCAGGAAACUGGGGCUAAUACCGGAUAGGAGCUCCUGCUGCAUGGUGGGGGUUGGAAAGUUUCGGCGGUUGGGGAUGGACUCGCGGCUUAUCAGCUUGUUGGUGGGGUAGUGGCUUACCAAGGCUUUGACGGGUAGCCGGCCUGAGAGGGUGACCGGCCACAUUGGGACUGAGAUACGGCCCAGACUCCUACGGGAGGCAGCAGGGGGGAAUAUUGCACAAUGGGUGGAAGCCUGAUGCAGCAACGCCGGGUGCGGGAUGACGGCCUUCGGGUUGUAAACCGCUUUCGCUCAUGACGAAGCUUUGUGUGACGGUAGUGGGUAAAGAAGCACCGGCUAACUACGUG